UGGGGAAUAUUGCACAAUGGAGGGAACUCUGAUGCAGCGACGCCGCGUGAACGAAGAAGGCUUUCGAGUCGUAAAGUUCUUUUAUAUGGGAAGAUAAUGACGGUACCAUAAGAAAAAGCCCCGGCUAACUACGUGCCAGCAGCCGCGGUAAUACGUAGGGGGCUAGCGUUGUCCGGAAUCACUGGGCGUAAAGGGUUCGCAGGCGGAAAUGCAAGACAGGUGUAAAAGGCAGUAGCUUAACUACUGUAAGCAUUUGAAACUGCAUAUCUUGAGAAGAGUAGAGGUAAGUGGAAUUUUUAGUGUAGCGGUGAAAUGCGUAGAUAUUAAAAAGAAUACCGGUGGCGAAGGCGACUUACUGGGCUCAUUCUGACGCUGAGGAACGAAAGCGUGGGUAGCAAACAGG
rnacentral:rRNA from 2 species